rnacentral:rRNA from 1 species
GAUGAACGCUGGCGGCGUGCCUAAUACAUGCAAGUCGAGCGAACGGACGAGAAGCUUGCUUCUCUGAUGUUAGCGGCGGACGGGUGAGUAACACGUGGAUAACCUACCUAUAAGACUGGGAUAACUUCGGGAAACCGGAGCUAAUACCGGAUAAUAUUUUGAACCGCAUGGUUCAAAAGUGAAAGACGGUCUUGCUGUCACUUAUAGAUGGAUCCGCGCUGCAUUAGCUAGUUGGUAAGGUAACGGCUUACCAAGGCAACGAUGCAUAGCCGACCUGAGAGGGUGAUCGGCCACACUGGAACUGAGACACGGUCCAGACUCCUACGGGAGGCAGCAGUAGGGAAUCUUCCGCAAUGGGCGAAAGCCUGACGGAGCAACGCCGCGUGAGUGAUGAAGGUCUUCGGAUCGUAAAACUCUGUUAUUAGGGAAGAACAUAUGUGNUAGUAACUGUGCACAUCUUGACGGUACCCUAUCAGAAAGCCACGGCUAACUACGUGCCAGCAGCCGCGGGUAUACGUAGGUGGGCAGCGUUAUCCGGAAUUANUUGGCGUAAGCGCGCGUAGGCGGUUUUUUAGUCUGAUGUGAAAGCCCACGGCUCAACCGUGGAGGGUCAUUGGAAACUGGAAAACUUGAGUGCAGAAGAGGAAAGUGGAAUUCCAUGUGUAGCGGUGAAAUGCGCAGAGAUAUGGAGGAACACCAGUGGCGAAGGCGACUUUCUGGUCUGUAACUGACGCUGAUGUGCGAAAGCGUGGGGAUCAAACAGGAUUAGAUACCCUGGUAGUCCACGCCGUAAACGAUGAGUGCUAAGUGUUAGGGGGUUUCCGCCCCUUAGUGCUGCAGCUAACGCAUUAAGCACUCCGCCUGGGGAGUACGACCGCAAGGUUGAAACUCAAAGGAAUUGACGGGGACCCGCACAAGCGGUGGAGCAUGUGGUUUAAUUCGAAGCAACGCGAAGAACCUUACCAAAUCUUGACAUCCUUUGACAACUCUAGAGAUAGAGCUUUCCCCUUCGGGGGACAAAGUGACAGGUGGUGCAUGGUUGUCGUCAGCUCGUGUCGUGAGAUGUUGGGUUAAGUCCCGCAACGAGCGCAACCCUUAAGCUUAGUUGCCAUCAUUAAGUUGGGCACUCUAAGUUGACUGCCGGUGACAAACCGGAGGAAGGUGGGGAUGACGUCAAAUCAUCAUGCCCCUUAUGAUUUGGGCUACACACGUGCUACAAUGGACAAUACAAAGGGCAGCGAAACCGCGAGGUCAAGCAAAUCCCAUAAAGUUGUUCUCAGUUCGGAUUGUAGUCUGCAACUCGACUACAUGAAGCUGGAAUCGCUAGUAAUCGUAGAUCAGCAUGCUACGGUGAAUACGUUCCCGGGUCU